rnacentral:lncRNA from 1 species
CAGUGUUCCUUGUGUAAUGGAAACUUUUAUUCCGCUCCUUGUGGCAGUAAAAGAAUUGCAAAGAAAAUUACUCCAGUCAACUGAGACAUGCUGUUUCCACGUCCUCCUUCCUUCCAGAUGAUAUCUGUCAGGAUAUGGAUUUAGAAGUCAGCAGUCUGGAAGUGAAAUCCCUUAGAACUGAAUGUGGAAAUGACCAGUGCAAAGGCUAAAACCUCUUAAGGGCAAGGAACACAAAUAGGAGGGAAAAAAAUAAGGCAAUCUUUUCAGACAAAGGAACAGCCUUUUGUGGGGAAAGAACAAAGGAAAAAAACAGAAGAAAGUGAUAAAGAGGACAUUUGGAACACUCAACAGAGAGAUGAGGAAGCAGUGUGAGCAACUUGGCAGAGUGUAAAAAAAGGAUUUUCAUUCUGCACAACGCAGAUCUUUGGAACGGCUCAAUAUAUCAC